rnacentral:rRNA from 1 species
GACGAACGUUGGCGGCGUGCUUAACACAUGCAAGUCGAACGGAAAGGCCCUGCUUUUGUGGGGUGCUCGAGUGGCGAACGGGUGAGUAACACGUGAGUAACCUGCCCUUGACUUUGGGAUAACUUCAGGAAACUGGGGCUAAUACCGGAUAGGAGCUCCUGCUGCAUGGUGGGGGUUGGAAAGUUUCGGCGGUUGGGGAUGGACUCGCGGCUUAUCAGCUUGUUGGUGGGGUAGGGGCUUACCAAGGCUUUGACGGGUAGCCGGCCUGGGAGGGUGACCGGCCACAUUGGGACUGAGAUACGGCCCAGACUCCUACGGGAGGCAGCAGUGGGGAAUAUUGCACAAUGGGCGGAAGCCUGAUGCAGCAACGCCGCGUGCGGGAUGACGGCCUUCGGGUUGUAAACCGCUUUCGCCUGUGACGAAGCGUGAGUGACGGUAAUGGGUAAAGAAGCACCGGCUAACUACGUG